rnacentral:rRNA from 1 species
GACGGACGCUGGCGGCGUGCCUAAUACAUGCAAGUAGAACGCUGAAGGAGGAGCUUGCUUCUCUGGAUGAGUUGCGAACGGGUGAGUAACGCGUAGGUAACCUGCCUGGUAGCGGGGGAUAACUAUUGGAAACGAUAGCUAAUACCGCAUAAUAGCAGUUGUUGCAUGACAACUGUUUGAAAGGUGCAAUUGCACCACUACCAGAUGGACCUGCGUUGUAUUAGCUAGUUGGUGGGGUAACGGCUCACCAAGGCGACGAUACAUAGCCGACCUGAGAGGGUGAUCGGCCACACUGGGACUGAGACACGGCCCAGACUCCUACGGGAGGCAGCAGUAGGGAAUCUUCGGCAAUGGACGGAAGUCUGACCGAGCAACGCCGCGUGAGUGAAGAAGGUUUUCGGAUCGUAAAGCUCUGUUGUAAGAGAAGAACGAGUGUGAGAGUGGAAAGUUCACACUGUGACGGUAUCUUACCAGAAAGGGACGGCUAACUACGUG